AGCGAACGCUGGCGGCAGGCCUAACACAUGCAAGUCGAACGAACCUUUCGGGGUUAGUGGCGGACGGGUGAGUAACACGUGGGAACGUGCCUUUAGGUUCGGCAUAACUCAGGGAAACUUGUGCUAAUACCGAAUGUGCCCUUCGGGGGAAAGAUUAAUCGCCUUUAGAGCGGCCCGCGUCUGAUUAGCUAGUUGGUUGAGGUAAUGGCUCACCAAGGCGACGAUCAGUAGCUGGUCUGAGAGGAUGAUCAGCCACAUUGGGACUGAGACACGGCCCAAACUCCUACGGGAGGCAGCAGUGGGGAAUCUUGCGCAAUGGGCGAAAGCAUGACGCAGCCAUGCCGCGUGAAUGAUGAAGGUCUUAGGAUUGUAAAAUUCUUUCACCGGGGACGAUAAUGACGGUACCCGGAGAAGAAGCCCCGGCUAACUUCGUA
rnacentral:rRNA from 1 species